rnacentral:misc_RNA from 1 species
AAAUUCAGCCUUAGUAGAAAAACUUACUAAGUGUUAGCUUUCAGAUUCAGGGAAACCCAGGUUGAAAAAAUAUAUAGGUAAUCCUGAGCCAAAUCUUAUUCUAAAAUGAGAAAGGUGCAGAGACUCGAUGGAAGCUAUCCUAACGAAUAAUAUUUUUUUUAAUUUAUUUUUUUUUUAUUUAAUUUAUUAAUAAUUAAAAUCAAUUAAUAUUUUUAUUCUAUCAAUUAAAAAUCUUUAAUUAAUAAAAAAUUUAACUAUUUUUUUAAUUAAAUUAUUUAUGAGAAUUUAAACGAGGAUAAAGGUAGAGUCCAGUUUUACAUGUUAGUUUUAACAACAAUUAAAAUUGUGGUAAAAAGAAAAUCCGUUGGCUUUAUUGACCGUGAGGGUUCAAGUCCCUCUACCCCCAAAAAUUUAUAUAUAAUAAAAAAAAAUAAAUUUCAUUUUUAUUGACAUAAGUUCAAUUUUUAUGUUACGAUAAUUUUGAAUAAUAAAAAGCCGGGAUAGCUCAGUGGUAG